CCCGCCCCACAGGCCCCGGCCCCGCCUCGCAGACCCCGCCCUGGUACCGGUGCGUGUGUUGGUGUCGCCGCCGCCGCCGCCGCCCCUGCCCCCGAGCUUUCUUGGGCCCUCGCGGCCCCCAGCUGCCCCAGCUGGAUGCAGCUCCAGGCGCUCAGGGGAACUGUGUUGAGAACACGCCCCGUCUCGCUUUCCUGUGGGCAUUUCCCAGGAUUUCCUUGCACCUAAAUCCUCCUCAGUGUCUGCUACCUCAGAGGGAGCACCUCUGCGAAUGAGGGUGGGGACGCAGGCGCUAACCGAGGUCAGGUUUUCAGUCCGUAGAUGUGCUCGAGAAACCAACACGGAGGAGAAAUGCUGCCACUGCAGACACGCGGCGGGGGGCGCUGGCCUAGCUGAGUGUGGCCAGGCGGCCGGGACACCGACAUCCGGGGCUGGAAAGACAGAGCCGCGUCCGCAGAGGCCUCCGUCCCUGAGGAGAGAUCCCGGUGCCCAGGGCUCACGUCUGGGUGGAGACUGUUUCAAACACAAGACCAAGGGUCUUGUGGGAGCCCAGAUGAGGUGCUGAGCCAGCCCUGAAGGACUUCCUGGAGGAGGAGAGGGUGAGUGGUGCAGGUUCUGGAAAGGGUGUCCCCUGCAGAAGAAACCACCUGAGCAUGGCCCUGGAGGUGGGGAAAUGGAGACCUGAAGGCUGAGCCAGGCUGGAGGGAGGUGGGGAAGAAAACAGGGCCCCCAUUGAGUCAUCAGGCCUUCCUCUGGGGCCCCAUUAUGACUUUUAAGCACCCCGGGCACUUUUGCCUUCGUGAGCCCCGCGUCCUCCGUGAAAAACAAUGAAAAUUAGCUUCUAUGACUGAAUUGGUAUAAAGAUGAAUUUUAAUCUGUUCAUUGUCUACUCACCUGUUCAUCCGUGCCUCCCUCCUGACCCACCUGCUCACCCCAUCCAGUUGUCCAUCCUUCCCUUACAUGCACUCACCUAUCUGUUCGCUCAUCCGUCUGUUCACAUGUCCAUCUGUUUUAUCUCUCCAUCAUUUACUGUGUCAGUCUCUACAUUCCUCUCGUCUCUAGAGAGUUUCCCAGCAUCCGACCCCAACCUUCCCAGCACAAACCCCCCUCUUCACCUCCUACUGCCGACAGAUCCAAGCCACCCUUCAAGCUUCGCUGGGCUUCAAGGUCCUGCCAAGUUGCCUCUUCUCCUCUCUCACUGCUCGCACCGUUCAUCCUAGAAGCUGUGGGCCUGGGGCUCUGCAGCUACUGUGCCCAAUGGGUAGGUUGUCCUCAGAUGUCCCCAAUGGCCUGGGUUGGAGGCUGUCCCUGAGGGUCUGUGGCUGGGCUCCUGCAGCCCAGAGAGGAGGGGUGAGCCAUGAUCACAGGGGCUGGAGGGGAGGGGACGAAUGGAAACAGGUUGGUGCACUGGGCCUCGGUUUUCUCACUUGAAAUGAGGGGGAAGAGCGCGGUGUCGUCCCCCCACAUUUUAAGCUGGUUUCUAGACUCCCUAGGCUGCCUGAGUACCAGGGUGGUGGAGGCGGGGGGCUUGCUCUUUCCUUCCCUCCCUGCCACUUAUCCACUUAACAGCCUGGGAGGGGAAGGCCUGCUUCUGGAGGGGGCAUCUCAGCCCCAUUAACACUGUUAACAGCCCCUGCGGAAGCAGCGGCCACCAGGGUCGCAGUUGCUUGGCCAUUAGCCCCAUCCCAACCCUCACUCCAACCUUAGGGCCUGCACUUCCUGGCAGAGCUUCUGUCCCCUCACGCCAACCCCUGCAGGCCUCAGAGGCCCCCACCUCUGGUCAAGGACCGAUCGGCCUGUACAGGGCUGUGGAGAGCAAAGGCAAGGGAGAGCCUGGCAGCCGUGAACUGGUGGCUGGACCCACAGAGCAGGUGGUGAUGGCAGGUGGAGAGGUGUGGGUCGUGGGGCCAGCAACUCAGCACAGUCCCCUCUGUCCCUUUGCCAAGUAGGAGUUGUGCGCUGUCCUCUGCUUUCUCCCCUCCAGCAUAUGUGAAGUGCCUUUUAUCCAGGAGCAGCUGUGCCAGGUCAGGCAGUCAGUCAACAAACGCCCACUGAGCUAACAACCAACAAAGUUCUAUCACGCCCUGCGUGUGAGGGCGAGACUUAGGCUCCCCUAAUUACAGAAUUCAUUCAUUCACCAACACGUAUUUAUU